GUGGCAAAGAGGAAUCUGUUGACUGGACAGCGGAGGCAUGACAGGAAUUCAAUUCCCACCCCCACGAACACGAACUCCCCGCGCCACUUGAUCCCCAUUUGAUUUGUCAAAUGCUCCAGACAUCAGAGACGUUGGUAUGCAGGGGCAAAAAGCACACACAGUUCUCUCGGCAAGGCAAAAAAGGGUUCCCACAUCGGCCUCACCAGCAAUGACACUUGUAGCAGACGAAUGGGAUCUUGGAGUACCGAGCAGAACCUUGAAUACCCUACAGUACCUAAUAAUAGAUACAACGUGAUAGUCGCAUUUAUGCUACUUCAAUAUUAAGACUUCGACACGCAGAUUUGGGAAAAUCGUGUUGGUUAUAAUUAGAAUAUUGAAAGACAGUUUAACACCCAAGCACUUGUUCAAUGCUGCUCCCGGAACGCUUCCCUUUCCUUGUGGUCCAGACCAAGCAACCUUACUUUGGGACCAUCAAGCGAGAUGAUCCGACUUGGUGUAGAUUCAGGAUACGAGGGACUUUGGGGAUGCGGUGUCUGGAUUCCUACCAUCCGCGUAUUCCUCGCCGCCUGCGACUCCGGCGGAGCUAAAAUGACAUUCACUGACACUGAGCACUCGUCGCCUGGGAGUCUUGCAAUAAAAAUAAAACGAUUCUCAAAUAAGCGCUCAGGGAGUUUGUCACCGGAGCUGUCUUUUCCCUGCCAAAACAGCUCGCAUAUCCUUUCUGCCUGCUACACCUGCAAGUAUAUAAUGUACAUACAUCUCUAAGCGCGUCUCCAAAGAAAAACGUACGAAAUGAUCUGUUUUAAUUUGCAGACAACUUAAUAACACUGCUUCUGUAUUAUACUAUAUUGGAGUUUAAAGACUAAAUAAUUAAUUGACAGCAAGUUA
rnacentral:sRNA from 1 species